UACGUAGGAGGCAAGCGUUGUCCGGAAUUACUGGGCGUAAAGCGCGUGUAGGUGGUGGGACAAGUCUGCUGUGAAAGCGCCUGGCUUAACCGGGCGAGGUCGGCGGAAACUGUCCGGAGCUAGAGGACGGUAGAGGGGGGGUGGAAUUCCCGGUGUAGUGGUGAAAUGCGUAGAGAUCGGGAGGAACGACCUGUCGGCGAAGGCGGAGCCCC
rnacentral:rRNA from 1 species